UGGGGGAUUUUGGACAAUGGGGGAAACCCUGAUCCAGCCAUCCGCGUGUGCGAUGAAGGCCUUCGGGUUGUAAAGCACUUUUGGCAGGAAAGAAACGUCGCGGGUUAAUACCCCGCGAAACUGACGGUACCUGCAGAAUAAGCACCGGCUAACUACGUGCCAGCAGCCGCGGUAAUACGUAGGGUGCAAGCGUUAAUCGGAAUUACUGGGCGUAAAGCGUGCGCAGGCGGUUCGGAAAGAAGGAUGUGAAAUCCCAGAGCUUAACUUUGGAACUGCAUUUUUAACUACCGGGCUAGAGUGUGUCAGAGGGAGGUGGAAUUCCGCGUGUAGCAGUGAAAUGCGUAGAUAUGCGGAGGAACACCGAUGGCGAAGGCAGCCUCCUGGGAUAACACUGACGCUCAUGCACGAAAGCGUGGGGAGCAAACAGGAUUAGAUACCCUGGUAGUCCACGCC
rnacentral:rRNA from 1 species